rnacentral:rRNA from 1 species
CCUACGGGUGGCAGCAGUGGGGAAUAUUGGACAAUGGGGGAAACCCUGAACCAGCGACGCCGCGUGAGUGAAGACGUAUUUCGGUAUGUAAAGCUCUAUCAGCAGGAAAGUAAAUGACGGUACCUGACUAAGAAGCUCCGGCUCACUACGUGCCAGCAGCCGCGGUACUACGUAGGCGGCAAGCGUUAUCCGGAUUUACUGGGUGUAAAGGGAGCGUAGACGGCAGCGCAAGUCAGGAGUGAAAUGCCGGGGCCCAACCCCGAAACUGCUCUGGAAACUGUGAAGCUGGAGUUCAGGAGAGGUAAGCGGAAUUCCUGGUGUAGCGGUGAAAUGCGUAGAGAUCAGGAGGAACACCGACGGCGAAGGCGGCUUACUGGACUGUAACUGACGUUGAGGCUCGAAGGCGUGGGGAGCAAACAGGAUUAGAUACCCCAGUAGUC